GGAAACUAUACCUUCGUGAGGUUUUCAUCUCCAUAUGGGCUAGUAGACUACUUCCGGAAUACAUCUGUACCUAUGUCUUCGUGAGAUUUUCGUCUCUGCAAGGCGAAGGGAAAUGUAUUCCCCUGAACUGAACUCAGUCCAUAUGAGCCUAUAACGGGUGAGGAUCAAGGAAUUUGUUGGUUCAGGUACCUUUUCUUUAGAACCAAACCCCAUAUAGAGAGACCUAGGAGUCUACCCUAGGUAGAGCCACG
rnacentral:lncRNA from 1 species